rnacentral:tRNA from 1 species
GACUCAUUGGCACAAUGACAGAGCGUCUGUCUUGCAAAAAGGUUUUUGUAAAUAGAAGGUCGCUGAAUCGAUUCCGGCAUGAGGCA